rnacentral:rRNA from 1 species
CGCGAGACUCUUGGAGGUAGAGCACUGUUUGAUUGAGGGGUCCAUCCCGGAUUACCAAUCUCAGAUAAACUCCGAAUGCCAACGAGUUAAGACCGGCAGUCAGACUGCGAGUGCUAAGAUCCGUAGUCGAAAGGGAAACAGCCCAGACCACCAGCUAAGGUCCCCAAAUAAUUGUUAAGUGGAAAAGGAUGUGGGGUUGCACAGACAACUAGGAUGUUAGCUUAGAAGCAGCUAUUCAUUCAAAGAGUGCGUAAUAGCUCACUAGUCGAGUGACCCUGCGCCGAAAAUGUACCGGGGCUGAAACAAUUUACCGAAGCUGUGGAUCCCUUAGGGGAUGGUAGGAGAGCGUUCUAUGUGCGCAGAAGGUGUACCGCAAGGAGCGCUGGAGUGCAUAGAAGUGAGAAUGCCGGUAUGAGUAGCGUAAGACAGGUGAGAAUCCUGUCCACCGUAAGACUAAGGAUUCCAGGGGAAGGCUCGUCCGCCCUGGGUUAGUCGGGACCUAAGGAGAGACCGAUAGGUGUAUCCGAUGGGCAACAGGUUGAUAUUCCUGUACUAGAGUAUUGAGUGAAGGAGGGACGCAGCAGGCUAACUAAAGCAGACGAUUGGAAGAGUCUGUCUAAGCAGUGAGGCGUGGUAUGAGUCAAAUGCUUAUACCUAUAACGUUGAGCUGUGAUGGGGAGCGAAGUUUAGUAGCGAAGUUAGUGAUGUCACUCUGCCAAGAAAAGCUUCUAGCGUUAAUGAAUACUCUACCCGUACCGCAAACCGACACAGGUAGUCGAGGCGAGUAGCCUCAGGUGAGCGAGCGAACUCUCGUUAAGGAACUCGGCAAAAUGGCCCCGUAACUUCGGGAGAAGGGGCGCUGGCGAUAAGUCAGCCGCAGUGAAAAGGCCCAAGCAACUGUUUAUCAAAAACACAGCUCUCUGCGAAAUCGUAAGAUGAAGUAUAGGGGGUGACGCCUGCCCGGUGCUGGAAGGUUAAGAGGAGCGCUUAGACGUUUGUCGAAGGUGUGAAUUGAAGCCCCAGUAAACGGCGGCCGUAACUAUAACGGUCCUAAGGUAGCGAAAUUCCUUGUCGGGUAAGUUCCGACCCGCACGAAAGGCGUAAUGAUUUGGGCACUGUCUCAACGAGAGACUCGGUGAAAUUUUAGUACCUGUGAAGAUGCAGGUUACCCGCGACAGGACGGAAAGACCCCAUGGAGCUUUACUGCAGUUUGAUAUUGCGUAUCUGUUACACAUGUACAGGAUAGGUAGGAGCCAAGGAAAAGUGAACGCUAGUUUACUUGGAGGCGUUGUUGGGAUACUACCCUUGUGUGAUGGCUACUCUAACCCGGUAGGUUGAUCAUCUACGGAGACAGUGUCUGACGGGCAGUUUGACUGGGGCGGUCGCCUCCUAAAGCGUAACGGAGGCGCCCAAAGGUUCCCUCAGACUGGUUGGAAAUCAGUCGUAGAGUGUAAAGGUAUAAGGGAGCUUGACUGCGAGACAGACAAGUCGAGCAGGGACGAAAGUCGGGCUUAGUGAUCCGGUGGUACCGUAUGGAAGGGCCAUCGCUCAACGGAUAAAAGCUACCCUGGGGAUAACAGGCUUAUCUCCCCCAAGAGUUCACAUCGACGGGGAGGUUUGGCACCUCGAUGUCGGCUCGUCGCAUCCUGGGGCUGUAGUCGGUCCCAAGGGUUGGGCUGUUCGCCCAUUAAAGCGGCACGCGAGCUGGGUUCAGAACGUCGUGAGACAGUUCGGUCCCUAUCCGUCGCGGGCGAAGGAAAUUUGAGAGGAUCUGCUCCUAGUACGAGAGGACCAGAGUGGACUUACCGCUGGUGUACCAGUUGUUCUGCCAAGAGCAUCGCUGGGUAGCUAAGUAGGGAGGGGAUAAACGCUGAAAGCAUCUAAGUGUGAAGCCCCCCUCAAGAUGAGAUUUCCCAUAACGUUCAGUUAGUAAGAGCCCUGAAAGAAGAACAGGUAGAUAGGUUGGGAGUGGAAGCGUUGUGAGACGUGAAGCGGACCAAUACUAAUCGCUCGAGGACUUAUCCAAAA